UGGGGAAUCUUGGACAAUGGGGGCAACCCUGAUCCAGCCAUGCCGCGUGAGUGAUGAAGGCCUUAGGGUCGUAAAGCUCUUUCGCCUGUGAAGAUAAUGACGGUAGCAGGUAAAGAAACCCCGGCUAACUCCGUGCCAGCAGCCGCGGUAAUACGGAGGGGGUUAGCGUUGUUCGGAAUUACUGGGCGUAAAGCGCACGUAGGCGGACCAGAAAGUUGGGGGUGAAAUCCCGGGGGCUCAACCCCGGAACUGCCUCCAAAACUAUUGGUCUAGAGUUCGAGAGAGGUGAGUGGAAUUCCUAGUGUAGAGGUGAAAUUCGUAAGAUAUUAGGAAGAACACCAGUGGCGAAGGCGACUCACUGGACAGGUAUUGACGCUGAGGUGCGAAAGCGUGGGGAAGCGAACAGGAUUAGAUACCCUGGUAGUCCACACCGUAAAACGAUGAAUGCCAGUCGUCGGGUAGCAUGCUAUUCGGUGACACACCUAACGGAUUAAGCAUUCCGCCUGGGGAGUACGGUCGC
rnacentral:rRNA from 1 species